GUUCGGUGUAAUGCAACUGAAAAAUGAUUUUAUGCUUCUUCUUUGCUGCUGUUUGUUAUGAGCCUUAAUACAGUUUCGUAUAAGUCUGUCAUACAAUGCCACCCACUCAUCUACAGGAAAGCGUUGCUGAAGGGCGGCGAUUCUCAGUUUAUGGCGCAUUUCAGGAGUUGAUUUUAGAGCCAGAGUACAAGACUUCUCAAGUUGUUUCAGUAAAUAGGCGGUUGAGCUAGAUUCAACAGAAUACCACCAUCCUGGCAUUUCUCCUAAACCUCCGACUCUUGAGCCGAUACAAAUAGCACCUCUCCUGCCAAAUUCUACCGCGACUAAACCAAAAGGUUCAUCACGAGAAGGAAUUAGGGCAAAGUCAGCUCCUUCAAAAAUGAAGGGUGGUAGAUGAACGAACUCGGGUUUUGAGAAAACGCGCCCUGGAUAACGUUCCAUUAUGUACAUGAACUUUUCUGCCGCAAAUUUACCAUAUAAAUCAAUUAGAGGCCCAACAACAAUUAAUUGAAUGUUGAACUUUUCUAAGAGGGUUGGCGCGAGAUCAGCUAAAAUAUCAAUACCUUUUUGCACUGACCAUCUACCUACAAAUACCAGAAGAUCCGCUUCAUCAUCGAUUGUCAAACCGGCCCAUUCUUGUGCCUUUCUCUUGUUUUCCUUCCUUACCGAAGCAUAUUCUGCAAAGUCAGGAAGUUGUUGAUUCACAGGAUUAACACUCAAACCGAUGUCGGUAGGAUCAGGGUUAGGCAAUUGUCCAAUUUUUUUGAGACUCCAAAAAACUGGAUAUCGAACCCAUGAGCGUUGGCCAUAUUUGUUAGAAACACCAACUACUCCGUAACCGGACUGAUGACGACGAACAUAAGAAACACCGCAAUGCAUCAGGUUGAAAGCAUUACCGAAUUGAAUGUAUUCUCUGCAAAUGGUUUUGGAAACAUUGAAUAAACCACAAACCUCUCUUUCAUCAAUACUGGACUGUAAAGGCCACAAACCUUGGAAUUCGGCAUUAUGGAGUGAAAUUGCACAAGGGAUGACCUCUGGAAGAUUAUAAAUUGGAGCAAGUGCACCAUGAUAAUCAUUAAUAUGAUAGAUAUCAACCUUUUCACGACGUAUUAUAGCAGCAAUGGACUGAUUCCAAACACUGUAAAAAAUGGCUGAAGAUAUAUCAUCCAUACGAGGAGGAUAAGGAUCGUGUGAUGUCCGCUUUCUGAAUAUGGGAGAGUCGAGAAGAACAUAUUUGAUGUUGUCUUUAUAAUGAUAGAAAACUUUCACUUCAUAGUCUUGGUUAACCACUUUAACUACCAAAGAUGGAGCAGUUUCAGCCACUGGAUAUGUGAUAUCUCCCACACAAGGAACGACCCAAACCAAAUCAUACUGCUUUAAUGUCUUACUCAUUAAUUCAGCCAUCACUCCUAAACCUCCAAUUUUAAUUUUUAUAUUCCAUUCCGGAAUGUUAUAUUCGAGUGUUGCGAAAAGAAUGCACGUCCUUUUACAUGAAUGUCUAAUCAUUACAGGCUCAUCAUUAUCAUUCAAAGUCAGAAGAUUUGCGCUAUCCGUACGAAGUAAUUCAUCCUUAGACCUUUUCAACCAGCUAUCCUUCUUCUUAGAACGACCGGACUUAUUGAAUUUUAUGACA
rnacentral:lncRNA from 1 species